GCAUUAAUGGGGUAGUGGUAACCUGGGUCGUUGCCAUUGGUGACAAUUCUCGACCCGCCGGGGGUUCGAUUCCCUCUUAAUGCA